GAUUGCAGCAUCUGACAUACACCAAGUCACCAGGAUGAACCACUGCAGGUCUGUGAGAUGUAAUGGCUGAAAUAUAACACAGCAAGUGUGAAGAGAUCGAUCAGGAAGAGAGAUGGAUGAGAAUUGAUCAGGAGCUCUCUGCGCAACAAGAGACUGAUUACAAAUACACAGAGACAGUAAACAGGAUUAAUGGCCGCUCUCUAGGUGUCUUAUUAUGGCUGAAGAUGCUUUUUCCUGUCUGCGUGCUUUGUUUUGAAGGAAUCUGAGAAACUUUUUAACAAAUAAAAUGUUGUAUGUUUCUUGUA